UUCCACGCCGUAAACGAUGAUGGCUAACCGCCGGCGACACACUGUCGGUGGCCAAGCGAAAGCGAUAAGCCAUCCACCUGGGGAGUACGUCGGCAACGAUGAAACUCAAAGGAAUUGACGGGGACCCGCACAAGCGGUGGAUGAUGUGGAUUAAUUCGAUGCAACGCGAAAACCUUACCUACCCUUGACAUGUCUGGAACCUUGCUGAGAGGCGAGGGUGCCUUCGGGAGCCAGAACACAGGUGCUGCAUGGCUGUCGU
rnacentral:rRNA from 1 species